UUUUAUUUUUUUUUUCCUCCGUUUCUAGGUUGAAAAUGCCGCGCAAGGGGGGGGCGGGGGAGGGGUUGCAGGAGGUGUUUUGCAUUGAGGGUGAGGAUGAGGAGGGAGCUGAGGCUGCGGGUUGGGGGAGAGGAAGGGAUUUCCCCCCCCCUCCCCCCCAUCCAUGUGGCCGCAGCCCCGGGGGGGUCGGAGAGAGCGCAAUUUUUAACGAUAUCCUUUUGAAAAUCCCAAUUUGAGCAGCGAACAGAGCGAGGGGGGGAGGAGUGUUCGGGGGGGGUCUGAGGGGGUCCGGGGGGGUGGUCGGAAUGGAAAUUGCGCGGAGCGGCCGCGCUUUUUAAUGCCAUCCUUUUGAAAUGCCAAUUGACGCAGAGAUAAGCGCAGAGGGAGCGGCGCAGCGCCGCCUUUCCGCUCCCCCCCCAACUCUCCCCCCUCCCAUCCCGGUGCCCCCGGAAGGGAUUCCGGCUUUAAAACCACAACAACAGCAACGAGAGGGGAGGAAAAAGGAAAGGAAAAAGGAAAGCGGCGCUCGGACCGCGGCCAUAAGGACCCAUAAUGGGGGAUUUGCGCGUUUUCUUCCUGCGCGGAACCGCAGCGCAGCUCUGGGGGCGAAGACGGCGGAAUUUUGGGUGCAAAUCUUCAAGAUUUGGGGCGAUUUUGGUAAUUGGAAUCAUUGCGAUCCCCGGGGGGGGCGCGCUGGGGGCGGAGCGCAGGGCGGAAACGCUGCGCGGAUUUGGGGUCACUUCGGGGCGUUCGGUGCGGGGAAAUCGAAGCGGGGGGGGGGAUUGGGGUGCGGGGGGGCUCAAAGCAGCCGGAGAUCCGCUGUGCGGGGAGGGGGUCGGUAGGAAAUGGACCUUUGGGAGCGCACGUGCGUGAGUGUGAGUGUGAGUGUGAGUGUGUGAGUGUGAGUGUGAGUGAGCGCAGCUCUCGCGUUCUUUCGGGGUAAUUUGGGGGUCAUUAUUUGUUUAUUUUUUGUAUUUUUUUAUUAUUAUUCUUAAUGGGUAUAAAAUCCGAAAGGCGCCGAGGAAAAUAAGUGGUGGGUGUGCGCGUAAUUAUAGGGAGAGAGGGGUGAGAGUGGGUGUGAAACGGGGGGAAGGGAAAAGGAAAGGGCAAAAAUGAGGGGUUAAGAGGGUAAAAACGUUCAGAGUAAAAAAAUCGGGGAUAAGAAAAUGAAAAUAAAAAAUAUUAUUAUUAAUAAUAAAAUAGUAUAAAAAUAAAAUGAAAUGAAAUACUAUAAUAAAAUAAAAAAUUAAAUUAAAUUAAAACUAGAAUUAAACUUAAUUAAAAUUAAAAACGAAAUUAAAUUAAAAUUAAAAUUAAAAUUAAAAAUAGAAAUAAGAGAUAAAAUAAAAUGAAAUAAAAAUUAAAAGUAAUUAAAUGAAAUGAAAAUAAAAAUAAGAAUAAAAUAAAAUAAAAAUAAAAUAAUAAAAAUGAAAUGAAAUAAAAAUAAAAAAAUUAAAUAAAACAGAAAUAAAUACAGAAAUAUAAAAAUAAAACAGAAAUAAAUACAGAAAUAUAAAAAUAAAACAGAAAUAAAAGUAAGCGAAUAACAGAAGCGAAAAGUAAAGGAAAAAUGUGAAUAAAGAAAAAUAAAAUAAUAAAAUAAUAAUAAAUAAUAAAAGUGAAAAAGCCAAAAAAAAAAUGAAAUUAAUGACGAAUAAGAAAUGAAAGCAAAGAAAAAAUGUUGAUAUUAAUAAAAGUGAUGAAUAAAAGGAAAUAAAAAGGAACCCAACGAGAAAUGAGCAGAAAAAAAAGAAACGGUGAAAAGUGAAGGGAAAAAGAAAUGAGAUGGGAAGUAAUGAAGGAUAGGAGUGGGAAUAAAUGCGACUGAAAAGGAAGGGAAAAUAAGGGAUAAAUGGGAAUAAAGGAUAAAUAAAAUGAAUAAAUAGAAAUUAAAAUUAAAGGAGGAUAAAGAACACAAAAAUAAAGGAAAGAUCGGGAAAAAAAUUAAAGCACCUCAAAAAGAGAAAAGUAAAAAGAAAGAAAUGAACGGGAAUUGAAAGCGCUGAAAAUAAAACCCGAAAACGUUCGAACAGAGCGAAAAUAAAUGGAGGUAAUCAAAGAGAAAAGGCAGAAAUGGAUUUCAAAUAGGAAAUACUAAAUAAUAGUAAUUAAUAACAGAAAUGAUUUUUAAAGGAAAAUGGAAAAUAUUUAAAAAGCGAAAAAAAGGAAAUGGAAAAUAUUAAAAUUUAUGGAGAAAAGUGAAAAAAGGAGAAAAGAAAAACAGAAAAUGUUAAAAAAAGACGGGGAGGAAAAAAAAGAAAGAAAUAGAAAACAGUAAAAAAGGAAAAAAAAAAAGAAAAGGAAAUUAAAGCCGUAUUUUUAAAAAAUGGCGUAAAAACCAAAAAUCGGAAAAAACGGGAAAAAAUAAAAUCGAGGGGGAAAAAAUCGGGGAAAAAAAAAAAGUAAUUAAAAAAAAAAAAAACCCAAACUCACCCAAAUUGAGCUCCGUCUCUGCGCGCUGUGCGGGCGGAGCCGCGCGGUGCGUUUCGGGCGCUCUCCGCUCUCCGCCGUUGACCGAAAUGGGCUCCAAAAGCCCCCAAAAGCGGCGCCUCCCGCGACCCCCCCACCCCCACCCCCCCCACCCCCAUCGGCGAUGCGCGCAACCUCCGCGCCCCCGUCCGAACGCAGCGCCCUUUGCGAGGGUUUUGCGUCGUUAUUUUGGGGGGGAAAGUGGGAAAUUGGGCAAAAGAGGGCGAUUUUUUUUAAUGGUGGGGGGGGUUGGGGGGGGUCGGAGCCGCUCUGAGGUCCGAGCGGAGCCCCGUCCCGCGGAUGGCGCUCCGUAAUUCAUCAUUAUCGCUAAUUAAUAAGCCGAUAACGAUCGCCUCCGUAGGAAAAGCCGCGCUCGUUGGGCUGCUUUUAUGGCCGCCCCUCUCCAUCCUAAAUCACCUCCGGCUCCGCUCCGCAAUAACUCACCGCGCAAUGAGCGGCUGCCCGAAGCGCCUUCCGGCCCCCCCCGGCCUCUGCCGCUCUCCGGACCCCCCCCCAAAACCCCCCUCCCCAAAUCCCCCCCCAUCCCCAUCCCGGCCCCGGGGCUCCGCGUCAUCCGCGCAACGAUCCCGGUUCGAAUCCCAGCGCCGCCCGUCCGGGAACUGCGCGGGUUGGGGGGGAGGGGGGGGUGGGGGGGGAGGUCCUUUUUAGCGCCCUCCUCCCGUCCUAUUGCCGUAAUUUUUUUAGGAUUAUUAUUGCUAUUAAUCCCAUUGAUCCCAUCAUUCCCAUUAUUCCUAUUCCUAUAUUUGCUAUUAUUCCUUCUAUUGAUAUUAUUCCUAUUAAUCCUAUCAUUCCUAUCAACCCUACUAUUCCUAUUAUUCCUAUUCCUAUCAACCCUAUUAUUCCUAUUAUUCCUGGUCCUAUCAUUCCUAUUAUUCCUAUCAUUCCUAUUAUUGCCAUUAUUGCCAUUAUUGCUAUGAUUGCAAUUAAUUCUAUUAUUGCUAUCAUUCCUAUCAUUCCUAUUAUUCCUAUCCCUAUCAUUCCUAUCAUUCCUAUUAUUGCUACCCCUAAUAUUGCUAUUAUCCCCAUCUAUUCUAUUCCUAUCUGUUAUUCCCGUUAUUCCUAUCAUUCCCAUUAUUAUUAUUCCCAUUAUUCCUAUUACUGCCAUUCCUCUCAUUAAUACCACAAUUAACACCGUUACCACCGUUCCCAUUAUUACUCCCGAUGCUCCUAAUGCCGCUGCUACAACCACUGCUCUUAUCACUAUCAUCACCACUACCACCACUGCUGCUCACACGUGCAACACGUGCACACUCAGAUCACACGCAGGCACACGUGACCCACGCUGGUGCCCAUAACACACACGAUGCGCGUGCAACACACGCUUGCACAACUCCCGCUUGCAGUGCAACCCAUGCACGCGCGCCGGACGCAUGCUUGCACACACAGCACGUGCAGCACACGCUGUGCACACGUGACACACACACACACGCGCUGUGCGUGUGCAAUGCAGACCGCCCCCAGGGGGCACACCCAGUGCAGACCCUCCCCGUCAGGGUGUGAGCCCCCCCACAAAGCGCAGACCCCCCCUCCAACCCCAUGCAAACCCCAUCCCUCCCCACAGCCCCACGCGCCCCCAAUACUCAUUGGAGGUCGCCCCAAAUCCCCCCCAGACCUCCAUGCGAUGGGCAGGAAACCCACCCGGCACGGCUAUGGGGCAGCACCCCGUGUUAUCUGGGGGGGUCCCCCCACCCCCCCUCCAUGGGCAGGUGGGCGUUGCUGGUGAUCUGGGGCCUUUCUCCAAUAAUGCCUGACCUCUGGGUGCCCUUUGGCAAAAUAUGCAGGGAGACAAAGCCCCGAACCCCCCCCACAGCACUGCUGGGGGGGCACCAACCUCAGCCCCUCCCCGAGGGCCUCACCGCAGCCUGUGGGGCAAAAUGGGGCCCCCCCAAACCCCACCCAGUGCGUAUGUGAGGGGGGGUCCACUCCUAACCACUGCACUCUGAUGGGGCUGAAGGACCCCCCCCCCCCACUUCCAUCCAACACACAGCAGCCCUCAGCAACACACGUGUGCACACGCGUGUAACAAACACGUUUGCACGCCGGUCACGUGUGUGCAUGCAGGUCUGCACUGCACGUGGACAAUGCAUUCGCACACACACAGCACGUGUGCACGCUGGUGUUGCACGCAGAGGACUUGUGCGUGCAAGAGUGCACCGCAGGUGUGCUCAGAGGUGCCCUGCUGGGUGCACACACGUGUGUGCUCACACACCCGUGCACAGAGACUACCUGUGUGCAAACACACGUGCGUGGGUGUCCGUAAUGGGGCUGUUAUUUGGGGGCACCAUUCAUAAGGAUGGAGCCCUCCGGGGGACACCGCAGCCGAGAUCCCAUCGGCUUUGACUUCAGGAAACCCCAAAGCUUUAAUUAAGAGCAUCUUCUCAUCCAUAUCCCGGUGCUGGGGGGGGAUGGGGGUUGGGGGGGGGGGAUGCACGCACAGCUCGGUGUGCCAGGUGAGCAGGUUGGACUAAUCAAGAUAAAUAUGGGAUGCGCUGCAGGCCCUGCUAACGAGCCGAGGGGCGGCCGGGGGUGCGCAGGGUGGGAUCCUGCAGCUCCACAUCGCCAUGGAGACGGGGUCAGAGCAGCAGCAUCACCACCCCCCCAUCCCCAAAACCCCUCAUCGCUUCCAAAUGGGGUGGGGGGGGAUCCAGGUGAGCCCCCCCCCACACACACACAGCCCCAAAAAAUCCUUCUGCUGGAAAGCAGGGUGGAAAUAAAAGCAGAAUGUUCCCGCUUGGGGGACGCGUCCGUGUUUUAUCCUUGUGGUGUUUUCAGGGGUUUCGCAAAGGAGAGAACACACAGCUCCGGGUCGGGUUGGGUUUGUUUUGGGGGGGGGGGGGGGGGAGAUAUUAUAGGAAACAAUGGAUUACAUCCCAGCUAAUUGCCUGCAGCCUUCUGCAGUGAGGGGGUGGGAUGCAUUAAGGAGAAAAGAGGGCAUCAGGGCACUGCACUGCUGAUGGGGAAGGGGCUUCUCCCACCCCCACCCCCACCCCCCCUCCAAACCUCUGGGGGUGCCACAUUCUGCAGCGGUACCCCACGCAGCCCCCACCACCACCAAGAGAAGGGAUGCUGCCAUAAGGGACUGCAUUCCAUUUUGGGGUAGGUGACGGUAGCCGGGCUGGGAGGAGCUGAGCUCUGAGGGCAUCUGAUGGGAACGGGUGGGAAAUUGGGGGAUGAAGGAUGAGGAAGAGGAGGGGAAUGAAGGGCAGGCCUGGACGGGGUGAUGGAGAGGGAGCCCUGGGGGAGGGCAGGGAGCUCUGAAACAUCUGCUGCCGGAGCCAUAAAGCACUGGGAUUUACUGCUCUCCUCUGCCAGACGCCACGAGAAGGAAUCCCCGUCACAAUGGGGAGCGCGGGGCUGAGUGCCCCAUCCCGGUGUCACCGCCACACCGCACGGAUGGGCUGCCCCACGUCGGGGCAGCGCCCCCUAAACUGGCACGGAUGUAUAGGGGUGACCCCCGGAGUCCCGCAUGGUGGCGUCCCCUGGGGGUCACCCCCGAGGAAGUGGCACCCCGCAGCCUGAGAGCACAGCUGGGUGACCCCACACAUCCGGGCAGCGUCCCCCAAGGUGCCGCAUCUGGAUGGCGCCCCACAGCUGGAUGGCGCCCCACAGCUGGACAUCUUCAGUGCUGCACACAUCUGGACGGCGGGGCGUCACAUCUGGGCAUCCUCUGAGGGCAGAACCCCAAACCUGGGCUCCUCCCAUUGUGUCCCCCCCCCCACACACACACAGUUGGACACCUCCAGGGAAGGACCGCCGCACAUCUGGAUCCCCUCCCAUGGUAGCACCCCACAUCUGGACACCCCCGCCCUCCGUUGGCGCCCCCAUUGGGAUGCUCUCCCUCAUCGCCACCCCACAUCUGGGCACCCCAGCAAAGCAUCGUCCCACAUCUGGGCGUCCCCCCUAUAAUAGCACCUCACAUCUGGGCACCCCAACUAGAUGGCACCCCACAAAAGCAUCGCCCCACUUCUGGGCACCCCCCUUAUAGUAGCACCCCAUAUCUGGGCACAGCAACAGGACUGCAUCCUACACACGGCCCCCAAAGCAAAGCAUCACCCCACAUCUGGGCACCCCAACAAUGCAUUACCCCAUAUCUGGGCACCCCCUCAUAGUAGAACCCCACAUCUGGGCACCCCAACAAAGCAUCACCUCAUAUCUGGGCACUCCCCCCGUAGUAACACCCCACAUCUGGGCACCCCAACAGGAUGGCACCCCACAUCCAGCUGCCCCAGCAAGGCGGUACCCCACUUCUGUGUCCCCCCACACACACAUACAUCUCCCCCCCCCCGUCCACGUGCCCAAAGCCACACACUGCAGCCGGGUCUCUCUCUGCUCCUGACCUUUGCAGGGCCCUCCCCACUUUUAUUUACCCACAUUUGGAACAAACCAAUACAACAAAACGUCCCUCCCCUCCAUGGAAGACGCAUUCCAGACAGCGGAGGUGUUUGGGUUCACCUCCCAGUGCCCCCCCGACAGCCCCUCGGCCCCAUAGAAAUAAUGGGGGUGAGGUGGGGGGGGGCACUUCUGGGCUCUGCCCCACCCCAAAGCCGGGCUGGGAGAUCCGAUCCCCCCAUUUGUGGGGCUGAGGUGAGACCCCCACUUCUCACCAUCGCUCUGCAGCUCUCCCUUUAUUAUCCCCCCCCCCAAUAUCUCUUCCCUUUAAAACCACUUCGAUUCUUUUUUCUCAUUAUUUUAAUGAGGUUUCCUCGGGAUUUUUCUCCUUUUUUUUUUUUUUUUUUAGGGGGUGAAAAGGAUAAAAGAGUAAAAUAUAUGGGGAAAAAAUAAUCGGUGCUGUGCAUAUAAUGGGGGCUCGGGGGGGGGGGGAGAACUUUGGGUGUAUCCGUGUGCACCCGGACAUGGACACACACAUAUGCACGCGAGAACACAUUUAGCUCCAUCCCAAUUACCCAGCUGCAUGUCUAAUUACAGCUCUGCGCAAUUACACCUCCGCAAACCCCGCUGCCCAUUAGCGCCGAAUCCUCCGCGGAUUAUCGCUAAUAAAUAUCGCUAAUAAUUAAAGAUGCUCCUGAAGUGCUGAUGAGGUGUUUAAGCCCCGAGUGGGAAAACAGCGAAGCCCGAACCGACCCAUGAGGUGCCCCCCCUCCAACCCCCCCCCCCGGCAUCAGAAUGGGGAUUUCAGCCCUAAAUUCGCUGUGUGCUGAGGCCCUUUUUUCCUAUUUAU
ensembl:lncRNA